rnacentral:rRNA from 1 species
AUGAGUGAAGAAGAAGUUUUGGUCAUGAGCAACAUGUCCGAAGCUGUCCGUGAAGUUGCUAUUGCUAUCAAGUCCAUUGGAGAGGCACAUCCUGAACUUUAUGAUGCUGUCAUGGAGCUCCCUGGUUUUACCGAGGAUGAUCUGUUGAUUGUCUUGGAUUAUCUCAACGAGAAUGCCAACAGGGCUAGGAGUCACUCAUUCGUGCAAAUGUCGGAGACUCGUCGCACUCGCUGGGUCAUGCACCACCUCCCAAGGUCAACGGUGGAGUGCCCGUGCCCAAGGAUGGACUGCCAAAGGAUGGAGUGCCUGUGA